rnacentral:rRNA from 1 species
CGGUACGUACUGGCAUCGUCGGUUUCUCCCUUCUGACGAACCAUGAUGUCAUUUAUUUGGUGUCGUGGGGAAUCAGGACUGUUACUUUGAAAAAAUUAGAGUGUUUAAAGCAGGCUCACGCUUGAAUACAUUAGCAUGGAAUAAUGAAAUAGGACGUUUGAUUCUAUUUUGUUGGUUUCUAGGAUCGACGUAAUGAUUAAUAGGGAUAGUUGGGGGCAUUAGUAUUCAAUUGUCAGAGGUGAAAUUCUUGGAUUUAUUGAAGACUAACUACUGCGAAAGCAUUUGCCAAGGAUGUUUUCAUUAAUCAAGAACGAAAGUUAGGGGAUCGAAGACGAUCAGAUACCGUCGUAGUCUUAACCAUAAACUAUGCCGACUAGGGAUCGGAUGAUGUUAAUUUUUUAAUGACUCAUUCGGCGCCUUACG